rnacentral:tRNA from 1 species
GGGAUACUAGCUCAGUUGGUAGAGCACCUGACUUUUAAUCAGGUUGUCGGGGGUUCGAAUCCCCCGUAGUCUCACUA